rnacentral:rRNA from 1 species
UACGUAGGGGGCUAGCGUUGUCCGGAUUUAUUGGGCGUAAAGAGCGUGUAGGCGGCCAGGUAGGUCGGUUGUGAAAACUCGAGGCUCAACCUCGAGACGUCGGCGGAAACCAUCUGGCUAGAGUCCGGAAGAGGAGAGUGGAAUUCCCGGUGUAGAGGUGAAAUUCGUAGAUAUCGGGAGGAACACCAGUGGCGAAGGCGGCGACCUGGGCCAAUACUGACGCUGAGGUGCGAAAGCGUGGGGAGCGAACAGG